GGAUCCAGACUUUGAUUAUGGCUCACGACGAACGCUGGCGGCGCGCCUAACACAUGCAAGUCGAACGAGUGAGAGAGAGCUUGCUUUCUCGAGCGAGUGGCGAACGGGUGAGUAACGCGUGAGGAACCUGCCUCAAAGAGGGGGACAACAGUUGGAAACGACUGCUAAUACCGCAUAAGCCCACGGGUCGGCAUCGACCAGAGGGAAAAGGAGCAAUCCGCUUUGAGAUGGCCUCGCGUCCGAUUAGCUAGUUGGUGAGGUAACGGCCCACCAAGGCGACGAUCGGUAGCCGGACUGAGAGGUUGAACGGCUACAUUGGGACUGAGACACGGCCCAGACUCCUACGGGAGGCAGCAGUGGGGAAUAUUGCACAAUGGGGGAAACCCUGAUGCAGCGACGCCGCGUGGAGGAAGAAGGUCUUCGGAUUGUAAACUCCUGUUGUUGAGGAAGAUAAUGACGGUACUCAACAAGGAAGUGACGGCUAACUACGUGCCAGCAGCCGCGGUAAAACGUAGGUCACAAGCGUUGUCCGGAAUUACUGGGUGUAAAGGGAGCGCAGGCGGGAAGACAAGUUGGAAGUGAAAUCUAUGGGCUCAACCCAUAAACUGCUUUCAAAACUGUUUUUCUUGAGUAGUGCAGAGGUAGGCGGAAUUCCCGGUGUAGCGGUGGAAUGCGUAGAUAUCGGGAGGAACACCAGUGGCGAAGGCGACCUACUGGGCACCAACUGACGCUGAGGCUCGAAAGUGUGGGUAGCAAACAGGAUUAGAUACCCUGGUAGUCCACACCGUAAACGAUGAUUACUAGGUGUUGGAGGAUUGACCCCUUCAGUGCCGCAGUUAACACAAUAAGUA
rnacentral:rRNA from 1 species